GACGAACGCUGGCGGCGUGCUUAACACAUGCAAGUCGAACGGAAAGGCCCUGCUUUUGUGGGGUGCUCGAGUGGCGAACGGGUGAGUAACACGUGAGUAACCUGCCCUUGACUUUGGGAUAACUUCAGGAAACUGGGGCUAAUACCGGAUAGGAGCUCCUGCUGCAUGGUGGGGGUUGGAAAGUUUCGGCGGUUGGGGAUGGACUCGCGGCUUAUCAGCUUGUUGGUGGGGUAGUGGCUUACCAAGGCUUUGACGGGUAGCCGGCCUGAGAGGGUGGCCGGCCACAUUGGGACUGAGAUACGGCCCAGACUCCUACGGGAGGCAGCAGUGGGGAAUAUUGCACAAUGGGCGGAAGCCUGAUGCAGCAACGCCGCGUGCGGGAUGACGGCCUUCGGGUUGUAAACCGCUUUCGCCUGUGACGAAGCGUGAGUGACGGUAAUGGGUAAAGAAGCACCGGCUAACUACGUGCCAGCAGCCGCGGUGAUACGUAGGGUGCGAGCGUUGUCCGGAUUUAUUGGGCGUAAAGGGCUCGUAGGUGGUUGAUCGCGUCGGAAGUGUAAUCUUGGGGCUUAACCCUGAGCGUGCUUUCGAUACGGGUUGACUUGAGGAAGGUAGGGGAGAAUGGAAUUCCUGGUGGAGCGGUGGAAUGCGCAGAUAUCAGGAGGAACACCAGUGGCGAAGGCGGUUCUCUGGGCCUUUCCUGACGCUGAGGAGCGAAAGCGUGGGGAGCGAACAGGCUUAGAUACCCUGGUAGUCCACGCUGUAAACGGUGGGUACUAGGUGUGGGGUCCAUUCCACGGGUUCCGUGCCGUAGCUAACGCUUUAAGUACCCCGCCUGGGGAGUACGGCCGCAAGGCUAAAACUCAAAGGAAUUGACGGGGCCCCGCACAAGCGGCGGAGCAUGCGGAUUAAUUCGAUGCAACGCGUAGAACCUUACCUGGGUUUGACAUGGAUCGGGAGUGCUCAGAGAUGGGUGUGCCUCUUUUGGGGUCGGUUCACAGGUGGUGCAUGGCUGUCGUCAGCUCGUGUCGUGAGAUGUUGGGUUAAGUCCCGCAACGAGCGCAACCCUUGUUCACUGUUGCCAGCACGUUAUGGUGGGGACUCAGUGGAGACCGCCGGGGUCAACUCGGAGGAAGGUGGGGAUGACGUCAAGUCAUCAUGCCCCUUAUGUCCAGGGCUUCACGCACGCUACAAUGGCUGGUACAGAGAGUGGCGAGCCUGUGAGGGUGAGCGAAUCUCGGAAAGCCGGUCUCAGUUCGGAUUGGGGUCUGCAACUCGACCUCAUGAAGUCGGAGUCGCUAGUAAUCGCAGAUCAGCAACGCUGCGGUGAAUACGUUCCCGGG
rnacentral:rRNA from 1 species